AGUUGUUGAGAUAAUUACGUAUAAUGCGCUUUCUGGAAAAUCAGCUUAUCAGCGGCAUAAACAAUGGUUGCAACAUGCAAAAACACGAAGUGCUAGACACAAGAUUAUGAAGUUUUUAAGGGAACAAGCUGCGCUAUCAGCUGCUGAGAUAACAGCAGAUACCAUUACUGACUUCAUUGCUGAUUCUGAAGAGGAAAGUGAGACAGAAGAAUCCCCACUUGUCUCCACUAAAAAAAAG
rnacentral:misc_RNA from 1 species